rnacentral:lncRNA from 1 species
CCCUGUGGAUGUGGAUGUGGAUGUCUGGGAGGAAGGGCAUUUUGAGCAGAGGCACCGACCAAGGCGGGAGCUGGGAGAGGGAGUGCAGGGCUGAUGAGGGCAGAGAGGGACCACCCAGGAGGACCCUGAUGGACUCAGAUGAUCCCAGGCUCCCUCCCACUACAGUGUUACAUGAGUGCCUACCCUGCAUCCUGUCCCGCAUUGUGCUGGGGACAGAGCAGUGACCCAC